GUCCUGCCCACCAGGCAAUCUAUCCCGUACUCCACUCGCUGUUGGGCCUCAGCCCGCCACGCAUCCCACCCGCACGGCCUCGCCCUAGGGUUUCUCCGUCUCUCUCUCUCUCUCUCCCCCGUUUCUCUCCUCCCAAUCGAAUCGGAAUCCAUGGAGUCGUCGCGGUCGCGGAAGCGCACGCGUCAAGAGUUGGACAGCGCCGGCGACCCGCCGCCGGAGCGGGAGGUGGUAGCAAGGGGUGGCGCGUCGCCGCCUUGGCGGGAUGACGACCGCGACGGCCAUUACGUGUUUGAUCUCGGCGAGAACUUGACCCGUCGGUACAAAAUCUUGAGCAAAAUGGGUGAAGGUACUUUUGGCCGAGUUUUGGAAUGCUGGGACCGUGAAACACGUGAAUAUGUUGCAAUAAAAGUUGUCCGAAGCAUCCGGAAGUACCGGGAUGCUGCAAUGAUUGAGAUCGAUGUGCUCAAUCGCCUUGCAGAAAAUGAGAGAUACAGAUCCCUCUGUGUCCAAAUUCAAAGAUGGUUUGACUAUCGCAACCAUAUUUGCAUUAUAUGCACGAAUUACGCCUUAUUCACACUGAUCUGAAGCCAGAAAACAUACUCCUCGUAUCUUCCGAAUAUAUAAAGGUUCCAAGUUCCAAGAAGAAUUCACAAGAUGAGAUACACUUCAAGUGCUUGCCAAAGUCCAGUGCCAUAAAGCUGAUAGAUUUUGGUAGUACUGCCUUUGAUAAUCAGGAACAUACCUCGAUUGUUUCUACGAGGCAUUACAGGGCACCUGAAAUAAUCUUAGGCUUAGGCUGGAGUUUGCCAUGUGAUAUUUGGAGUGUUGGUUGCAUCCUCGUUGAGCUAUGCUCGGGGGAGGCAUUGUUUCAGACACAUGAGAACCUGGAACACCUAGCAAUGAUGGAGAGGGUUUUGGGACCCGUACCAGAGCACAUGAUACGGAAGGCUAGUUCAUCAGCUCAGAAAUAUUUUAGGCGAGGGACACGUCUAAAUUGGCCUGAAGGUGCUGUUACAAGAGAAAGCAUCAGAGCAGUCAGAAAACUACACCGGCUAAAGGACUUGGUUGCGAGAAAUGCUGACCAUUCAAAGGCAUCACUGGCGGACUUGCUAUAUGGUCUUUUAAGGUUUGAGCCUUCAGAGCGCCUUACUGCCCAAGAGGCUCUAGACCAUCCAUUCUUCCGAAUUCCAGGUCCAACAUGACAAUUGGAAGAUGCUUUGAUUCCGCCGCUCGCCAAGAACAAGGCCUGGAGAAGCAGCGGGCACAAAGCCGAGAGCAGAAUGCCUUUGGCUAAUCUCUAGCAUAAAGAUGAUGUAAGCCGAGCUAUGGCGCUUGCGGUGGUGGUGAUAAGCUGUUGUUCCAGUCGUUCAGGUGUAAUGUACAAUAGCAUUUUUCCUAGGGAGGUUAGUGUACUGGAUGCGACCUGUACAUUGUGAAGUUGCGGUGCACCACUGGUUGCCGUCUGAAUCCUGGUUUUGUAAUCGCACUACAAUGAUCACUGACCAAGGCAAGGCAGCCGUAAAGGAGGUGCUAGUAUUUUGCCUGCCUGUGCCAUGUUCCGUUUCUCGAGAAGUCUUGACAGGGCUGAGAGUCCCUGCAAAUUCAGACCAUGCUGUUGAAAGUUGAAAUUAAAUCAAGUUGUAGUGUGUUUUGAACUUAUCCAAAAACUGAAUUGUCGGAGACUUUGGAAAGCACUGUUCCGGGAAUACUUUUAAUAAGACAGAAAAAGC
rnacentral:rRNA from 1 species